rnacentral:rRNA from 1 species
UACGUAGGGUGCGAGCGUUGUCCGGAAUUAUUGGGCGUAAGGAGCUCGUAGGCGGUGUGUCGCGUCGGCCGUGAAAACCUGGGGCUCAACUCUGGGCGUGCGGUCGAUACGGGCAUCACUUGAGUUCGGCAGGGGAGACUGGAAUUCCUGGUGUAGCGGUGAAAUGCGCAGAUAUCAGGAGGAACACCGGUGGCGAAGGCGGGUCUCUGGGCCGAUACUGACGCUGAGGAGCGAAAGCAUGGGUAGCGAACAGG